rnacentral:rRNA from 1 species
CUACGGGAGGCAGCAGUAGGGAAUCUUCCGCAAUGGACGAAAGUCUGACGGAGCAACGCCGCGUGAGUGAAGAAGGUUUUCGGAUCGUAAAACUCUGUUGUUAAAGAAGAACAAGGAUGAGAGUAACUGCUCAUCCCCUGACGGUAUUUAACCAGAAAGCCACGGCUAACUACGUGCCAGCAGCCGCGGUAAUACGUAGGUGGCAAGCGUUGUCCGGAUUUAUUGGGCGUAAAGCGAGCGCAGGCGGUUCUUUAAGUCUGAUGUGAAAGCCCCCGGCUCAACCGGGGAGGGUCAUUGGAAACUGGAGAACUUGAGUGCAGAAGAGGAGAGUGGAAUUCCACGUGUAGCGGUGAAAUGCGUAGAUAUGUGGAGGAACACCAGUGGCGAAGGCGACUCUCUGGUCUGUAACUGACGCUGAGGCUCGAAAGCGUGGGGAGCAAACAGGAUUAGAUACCCUGGUAGA